UCGUUCUUGUGUUAUUCCCUGGAUGUCUUACCCUAAUUCAGAGAUUGUCAAACAGAACGAAGAGCAUAUUCCAGGCAACUAAUCACUCCAUAAUGAUGCGUCUAAUUUAUCCAGGACUACACCAUUACUAAAUGAUUGCCAUAUCU
rfam:Drosophila ananassae strain TSC#14024-0371.13 Ctg01_19627, whole genome shotgun sequence.